rnacentral:rRNA from 1 species
CUGAAUCAGUGUGUGUGUUAGUGGAAGCGUCUGGAAAGGCGCGCGAUACAGGGUGACAGCCCCGUACACAAAAAUGCACAUACUGUGAGCUCGAUGAGUAGGGCGGGACACGUGGUAUCCUGUCUGAAUAUGGGGGGACCAUCCUCCAAGGCUAAAUACUCCUGACUGACCGAUAGUGAACCAGUACCGUGAGGGAAAGGCGAAAAGAACCCCGGCGAGGGGAGUGAAAAAGAACCUGAAACCGUGUACGUACAAGCAGUGGGAGCCUCUUUUAUGGGGUGACUGCGUACCUUUUGUAUAAUGGGUCAGCGACUUAUAUUCUGUAGCAAGGUUAACCGAAUAGGGGAGCCGAAGGGAAACCGAGUCUUAACCGGGCGUUAAGUUGCAGGGUAUAGACCCGAAACCCGGUGAUCUAGCCAUGGGCAGGUUGAAGGUUGGGUAACACUAACUGGAGGACCGAACCGACUAAUGUUGAAAAAUUAGCGGAUGACUUGUGGCUGGGGGUGAAAGGCCAAUCAAACCGGGAGAUAGCUGGUUCUCCCCGAAAGCUAUUUAGGUAGCGCCUCGUGAAUUCAUCUCCGGGGGUAGAGCACUGUUUCGGCAAGGGGGUCAUCCCGACUUACCAACCCGAUGCAAACUGCGAAUACCGGAGAAUGUUAUCACGGGAGACACACGGCGGGUGCUAACGUCCGUCGUGAAGAGGGAAACAACCCAGACCGCCAGCUAAGGUCCCAAAGUCAUGGUUAAGUGGGAAACGAUGUGGGAAGGCCCAGACAGCCAGGAUGUUGGCUUAGAAGCAGCCAUCAUUUAAAGAAAGCGUAAUAGCUCACUGGUCGAGUCGGCCUGCGCGGAAGAUGUAACGGGGCUAAACCAUGCACCGAAGCUGCGGCAGCGACACUGUGUGUUGUUGGGUAGGGGAGCGUUCUGUAAGCCUGUGAAGGUGUGCUGUGAGGCAUGCUGGAGGUAUCAGAAGUGCGAAUGCUGACAUAAGUAACGAUAAAGCGGGUGAAAAGCCCGCUCGCCGGAAGACCAAGGGUUCCUGUCCAACGUUAAUCGGGGCAGGGUGAGUCGACCCCUAAGGCGAGGCCGAAAGGCGUAGUCGAUGGGAAACAGGUUAAUAUUCCUGUACUUGGUGUUACUGCGAAGGGGGGACGGAGAAGGCUAUGUUGGCCGGGCGACGGUUGUCCCGGUUUAAGCGUGUAGGCUGGUUUUCCAGGCAAAUCCGGAAAAUCAAGGCUGAGGCGUGAUGACGAGGCACUACGGUGCUGAAGCAACAAAUGCCCUGCUUCCAGGAAAAGCCUCUAAGCAUCAGGUAACAUCAAAUCGUACCCCAAACCGACACAGGUGGUCAGGUAGAGAAUACCAAGGCGCUUGAGAGAACUCGGGUGAAGGAACUAGGCAAAAUGGUGCCGUAACUUCGGGAGAAGGCACGCUGAUAUGUAGGUGAAGUCCCUCGCGGAUGGAGCUGAAAUCAGUCGAAGAUACCAGCUGGCUGCAACUGUUUAUUAAAAACACAGCACUGUGCAAACACGAAAGUGGACGUAUACGGUGUGACGCCUGCCCGGUGCCGGAAGGUUAAUUGAUGGGGUCAGCGCAAGCGAAGCUCUUGAUCGAAGCCCCGGUAAACGGCGGCCGUAACUAUAACGGUCCUAAGGUAGCGAAAUUCCUUGUCGGGUAAGUUCCGACCUGCACGAAUGGCGUAAUGAUGGCCAGGCUGUCUCCACCCGAGACUCAGUGAAAUUGAACUCGCUGUGAAGAUGCAGUGUACCCGCGGCAAGACGGAAAGACCCCGUGAACCUUUACUAUAGCUUGACACUGAACAUUGAGCCUUGAUGUGUAGGAUAGGUGGGAGGCUUUGAAGUGUGGACGCCAGUCUGCAUGGAGCCGACCUUGAAAUACCACCCUUUAAUGUUUGAUGUUCUAACGUGGACCCGUGAUCCGGGUUGCGGACAGUGUCUGGUGGGUAGUUUGACUGGGGCGGUCUCCUCCUAAAGAGUAACGGAGGAGCACGAAGGUUGGCUAAUCCUGGUCGGACAUCAGGAGGUUAGUGCAAUGGCAUAAGCCAGCUUGACUGCGAGCGUGACGGCGCGAGCAGGUGCGAAAGCAGGUCAUAGUGAUCCGGUGGUUCUGAAUGGAAGGGCCAUCGCUCAACGGAUAAAAGGUACUCCGGGGAUAACAGGCUGAUACCGCCCAAGAGUUCAUAUCGACGGCGGUGUUUGGCACCUCGAUGUCGGCUCAUCACAUCCUGGGGCUGAAGUAGGUCCCAAGGGUAUGGCUGUUCGCCAUUUAAAGUGGUACGCGAGCUGGGUUUAGAACGUCGUGAGACAGUUCGGUCCCUAUCUGCCGUGGGCGCUGGAGAACUGAGGGGGGCUGCUCCUAGUACGAGAGGACCGGAGUGGACGCAUCACUGGUGUUCGGGUUGUCAUGCCAAUGGCACUGCCCGGUAGCUAAAUGCGGAAGAGAUAAGUGCUGAAAGCAUCUAAGCACGAAACUUGCCCCGAGAUGAGUUCUCCCUGACCCUUUAAGGGUCCUGAAGGAACGUUGAAGACGACGACGUUGAUAGGCCGGGUGUGUAAGCGCAGCGAUGCGUUGAGCUAACCGGUACUAAUGAACCGUGAGGCUUAACCUUACAACGCCGAAGGUGUUU